GGUUCGACAUAGCGACCUUUUAAAAGAGGUGCAUCAAAAGUUUAAGGAUGCGGGCUAUAGUCGCUCAAUUGAGCAGAUGAAAAACCGUUGGAAAGUUUUGAAGGCAUCCUACCACAAGGCCAAACAGGCAGUUGACAGGAGUGGUGCGGCUCCAACCAAUUUUCCAUUCUUCGAAAAAAUCAACAGUUUCAUCGGAGGACGGCCAAUAUUCAACGUGGAGGAAAAUGGAGUUGAUAUUGGUUUUAGAACGGACGAGGACGUGAAUGUGACAUCCUCUGAUGAUGAUGAUAGUGACGGCAAUGACGCUGUUGGCAACGCUCUGGAGUCAAUAGCAGAGGAGACCUCCAACGUUGCCCUUCCUGCUUCAAAAAAAAGGAGAAAACAGGCAUCUGGUUAUGGCCGAUUUCUCCAAAGCUGGACGGAUGAACAAAAGGCUGCAAUGGACAGAAUGGAGCGAACGCAGAGGCUGAAUGAAGAGCGUGAGGAGAGGGCCAUGUCCCGAUUUUUAGAAGAAAGUGCUCGUUCAACCGAGCGUUUGGCAGGGCAGAUAUUUGCGGGCCUCAGGUCAUUGCUUCCACAACCAACUCACCAGGCUCCAAAUUUCAGCCCAUUUUCUGCCCACCAGUCUUAUCCACACACCUACAACUACCCACUGGAUAGGCCUAGAUCGAACGAAAGUGCGACACAUGAUUCAGAUCAGUCAA